UACGGAGGGAGCUAGCGUUGUUCGGAUUUACUGGGCGUAAAGGGCGCGUAGGCGGUCGUGACAAGUCACUUGUGAAAUCUCCGGGCUUAACUCGGAACGGUCAAGUGAUACUGUCGGACUAGAGUACAGAAGGGGCAACUGGAAUUCUCGGUGUAGCGGUGAAAUGCGUAGAUAUCGAGAGGAACACCUGCGGCGAAGGCGGGUUGCUGGGCUGAUACUGACGCUGAGGCGCGAAAGCCAGGGGAGCGAACGGG
rnacentral:rRNA from 1 species